rnacentral:rRNA from 1 species
CCUACGGGUGGCAGCAGUGAGGAAUAUUGGUCAAUGGGCGUAAGCCUGAACCAGCCAAGUCGCGUGAGGGAUGAAGGUUCUAUGGAUCGUAAACCUCUUUUAUAAGGGAAUAAAGUGUGGGACGUGUCCUAUUUUGUAUGUACCUUAUGAAUAAGGAUCGGCUAACGCCGUGCCAGCAGCCGCGGUAAUACGGAGGAUCCGAGCGUUAUCCGGAUUUAUUGGGUUUAAAGGGUGCGUAGGCGGCCUUUUAAGUCAGCGGUGAAAGGCGUGGGCUCAACCAUAGAAUUGCCGUUGAAACUGGGGGGCUUGAGUGGGUGAGAGGUAGGCGGAAUGCGUGGUGUAGCGGUGAAAUGCAUAGAUAUCACGAAGAACUCCGAUUGCGAAGGCAGCUUACUGAGCCAUAACUGACGCUGAGGCACGAAAGCGUGGGGAUCAAACAGGAUUAGAUACCCUUGUAGUC